UGCACAUUUUUUUUUUUUUUAUCUAUUUUGUUCCUCUGCUUACAUUGGCUAUUACUGUCAAUCUAGGUCCCUAUAUUCUGCUUCUGGAUUGUUCCUGUUUCUUUUUUCUGCUUCAUCCCCGCUGUUCCUGAUCCCUUGUCUGUUGAUAUCGCCACAGCCAAGGACUCACCGUAUCCACCUCUUCAUCCCUCUAUCUAUUGAUUUCUUCACCGAAUCGGUCAUGUGGGCGUGCCGAUGUGGAGCCGAUGUAGGGCAGGUCAGUCAACGAAGCUUCUAAUAUACCUCCGUCUGUAAUUUUCACCUGUCCCGUGUGGCUUCUGUGCAACGGAGGUGAUUAGGUAAGUGUCAAGAAUGAGCAACGAACCCUAAACCCACCAAUGUCAAACAACAACUGGAAGUAGGAGGUGAGUAGUUUUCUGGAUUAUUUGAUACAUACUCCAGAUUUACGUUAGCGAUGCCUGCGUUUUUUCGUUAGCGAUGAAGGACGGGAGGUUAGGGGUUGUGGAGGAUGCAACGACGGAGGGUUCCAGAGCGACGAUCGAUUGCAACAUAGGAUAAAAACAACACCAUCCAUUAUCGACUGAAGAUUGAAUGAAUGAAGCUCUGGAAUCGAUGAGGUAUGUUUUGGAUUUUUUUUUUCAAUAACUCUAAAACCCUAAUCUUGAAGAAAUUAUAUAUAAAGAUAAAACAAACUCGAAUCAUGAAAGAAUAUCAUAUUUAAUUUUGGUGUUCAUAAGUAUUUUUUUCAAACUUUUGGACGCGCUGUUUAGCUAUUUGGAUCAUCUUCUCUUCGUUAACGUUUUCUCAUAAGCAGAUAAUUGGUUGACAGAGAUGAAGCAACUGCAGGUAAAACUUAAUACUCAAAUGUGUCAUUUUUUUUAUCAUCUUUGUCAAUGAAAUAUUAUUAUCAAUGUUGAAACAAUGAUGAGCUAAAUAGAACAUGUACAGUGAGUUAUUUUUGAAAUUUAGUAUUAUGUCUUCUAUGUGUUUGAUAUAUUGUCUCAAAGAGAGGAAGAUGUUCGAAAAAGGCUAGAGGUGACUUUUGGAGCAUAACCACUACCUAAAUGAUCCUAUAAACUGAUUUUUUUAAACAUGUCUGAUAGCACUUCAAGUACACUACAUUUCACUCAAGAGAAUCAUAUUCCAAUUGUUAGAGGUCUUAGCAGCCAAAGAUGUUAUUGCAGUGUUGCAACCUCUGAAACCUUAUUUUAAAGUUUUUGAUGGAAAACAUGCUUCUUUGUGGCUUCCAACAGAUUACACCUCCUUUCUCGAUCACACUCUUAGGUUAUAUUUGAGACCUCCAGAGUGGCAACCACAAAGGAAAUGGAACUCAACAUUAUUUCUGUCACGUGGGCUUCAAGUUGAGAAAACUAUCAAAGUUUCUAAUAUUCAAUACCUUAAGGUAUAGACAUGGAUUUUGUGGAGGUGAGGAUUUUGCAGAGGUGGCAGCCGGAUUUUCUUGAAAACUCUAUCAUUUCUUGCUUUCCAAGUAGACCAUAGCAUACAGUAACAAAUGGCCAUAAAAAUCAUCCUUCUUUUUGGGCACGACCCCCACCUGACAACAAACUCAAGAAUGUCAUUCACCAUAUGAAAACUUCCAGCUUGCACCCUACACCAUCUCCAUAUCCCCUCUAUGACCAUCAUUACUAAGAGCACGCCAUAAGAGUAUGUUCCAGACACUCUUCUAUCUCCUCACACAUGCGACAUGUCAUUGUUUCCAAAAUUACCCCUCUUUUUGAUAGUUCAUUUGCGGUUGGAAUUCUACCAACUUGCGCCCUCCAAAUGAAACAAGAGACCUUCAGUGGUAUUUCUUUAAGCCAAUGAAAAUUAGAAUUGAUGGUUGGAAGCCUAUAAUCCCAUUUUUUUUUCUCAAAGCACACACUGUCUAUGAGCCAUCCGGUGUUAAACCACAAUUCCAAAUUUCACUUGUAGGACUUGUUUGCUUGGAGAUCACUUAAGUAACAGGGAUGUGGUUUUCAUGAGAUCAUUCUUUAUUCUUGCGAUAUUGUUCCAAACCCCGAGUAAAGUCUUCAUCGAGUAACAAUCAUAGGUUUGGAAUGGAUGUUGUGCAAAAUAUAUAUAACCGUUACCCAUAAUUGUCCAGGGUUAGUUCUAAGCUUCCACCACCACUUCAUAAUGAGGGAUAUGUUAAGAGGCUUUAUUGUACCAACACCAAGGCCACCCGAGUCUUUAGAAGUUGUCACCUUCUCCCACAGAAUCCAAUGAAUAACCUUCCGUUCCACUGAUCCACCCCAAAGGAAUUUGUUUCUCAACCUUUUGAGUGUCUCAAUAACGCCCUCUGGAGCCACAAACAAAGAUAAAUAAUAAGUUGGGAGGUUUCCUAAGACUGAUUGGAUGAGGGUCAGUCUGCCGCCAAAGGAUAGAUUUUUGGAUUUCCACUUUGAAAGUUUUUAUGUGAAUCUAUCAAUGAUCGGUUUCCAAUGUUUCUUCAACUUCAUAUUGGCACCUACCACAACGCUAAGACAGGUAAAAGGGGAGGGAGGAGGUUUCACAUCCAAGAGGUCUCACCCAGUUUGUCACCUCCUGUAUGUCAACACCGAUUCCAAAUACUCUUGAUUUACUGAAGUUGACUCUAAGCCCCGAUGCAACAUGAAAGCAGUGUAAAAUACAUGAUAGAUUAUUUAUAUUUUGUUUCGACCACUCCCCCAAGAAUAAGGCAUCAUUUGCGUAUAGAAAAUGAUAGAUUAUUGGUCCCCCAUUUGGCAAAUUAAUCCCAUGAAAGAUGCCUAGCUCACAUGCUGACUUCAUCGCUACACAAAGCCCCUCCUUGGCUAUAAUGAGCACGAACGGUGAGAGUGGAUCCCCUUGUUUGGUGCCUUUGGAUAUCGAGAAUUAUUUGGUUGGGCAACCGUUUACAAGUACUGAGGACUUGGAGGAAACAAGACAUCCUUUCAACCACCUUCUCAUUUUGUUACUGAAUCCCAUGUUCACUAGAUUUGAAUCAAGGAAAUCCCAGUUUAAUGAAUCAAAGGCUUUAUCGAAAUCAACUGUGAAGCGAAGGAUCUUCUUUUUAUUCUUUUCUGCCCAAGAACAUAUUUAAUUUACAUCCAGGGGCCCUUCCAAUAUAUUUCGACCUUCAAUAUAAGCUAAUUGCACCUGGUCAAUGCACUUCCCCAUGAGAUUCUUCAGUCUUAACGAAAGUAUUUUCAAGAUUAUUUUGGACACAACGAAUAAGACUGAUCGAUCUAUAAUCACUAAUCAGAAGGGGAUCCUUGACUUUAGGAACUAACGAGAUGAAGGAAGAGUUACAUGACGAGUCAGUAUUCCCACAUCUCUUAAAAUAUUUAACAACCGCUGCAAUGUCUCCCAAGAGAACGUCCCAAUAUUUUUUGAUGAAUUUAAACAUGAAACCGCUAGGUGCCCAGAUGCCUUUUCAUUACCACACGCCCACACUGCAUUCUAAAUUUCACACAGGGAAAUAGGAGAUUCCAGAUGUUGCCUUUCAUCGCAUGAAAAUUUCUUGAAGUGAUGGAUGUUUAGUUUCGGCUUGACACGGUACUUUUCUUUGUAUUUUUUAGAAAAAAAAAUGAAUAAACCUCCUGUUUUAUGGCUAUUGUAUCUGUAUACCAUUCCCCAUUGAUCAACAGACCGACUAUCAUACUCUUACGGUUAUUGUUGUAUAUGUGCCCGUGAAAAAACCUCAUGUUUUCGUCCCCAUCAAUUGCCCACUUGAUCCUUGACUUUUGUCUAAGAUCAAGAGCUUUGAGUUUUUCUAGCUCAACUAUUGAUUUAUACCCCGAAUUCCUAGCCUUCAUUAGUAGCAAUUUUCCUAUUUUAAAAGCCAUUUCUUAAAUAAAUAUAUUCAAAAGUAACGAAUAUCAACUUUAUAAAAAGAAUGUCUGUGAAUUCACAUGAUAACUUCCUCUUAUAAUUAAACUCUCGAGUUUUGAUCUUUUUCACGAGUUAGAAUAUAUUUUUCGCCAAGUUGGAUAAAUAUAAAAAUAAAUUCUCGAUCCCAAAGAAAUUCAAAAAUUGAUAGGAACAAUGAUAACAAAUUUUCACCGAUCACCGCCCACUUCACACAAAACAUAAAGCUCAACCCAAAGAUAUACUCCUUCCAUCCCAAAAUUAUUGUCCACAUACAAAAAACACACACAUAUUAAGAAAACAUAAAUUACAAUUAACUUUAUACAAUAAAAUGACAGUUUUGUCAUAAGUUUGCAUUUAAUGUUCCAUUAAAUAAUUAGUUGGUUAAGUAAUAACGAGGGGGCAUUUUGGUAAAAAUGUUAUUUAUUUUUAGAAGUGGGCUAACAUUUUGGGACAAACCAAAAACGAAAGAUGGACUAUAAUUUUGGGACGGAAUGAGUAAUAGUGUGUGGCGUACGUACAUUUCGACUUUUUUUCAAUAUAUAAAUAUAUAUAUAUAUAUAUAUAUAUAUAUAUAUAUAUAUAUAUAUAUAUAUAUAUAUAUAUAUAUAUAUAGAGAGAGAGAGAGAGAGAGAGAGAGAGAGAAAGUUAGAUUCAAAUGUUUCUAGCAACUAUUGUGUUCCUAAAUACACUAAUCACAAUUUAGCAAAUAAUUAAAUAAUUAUUUAAAUCAAAAAUGGUAUUUCUGGUUUUUUGCAAUUGCAAUUAACGAAACAAAAUAAAUAUAUGUGUAACGUGCCAAAAUUCAAGGCCAAAAAUUUCAUUUUUAAUUAGGUUAUUACAUAAAACCAAAGUGUGAAUAAUCAAAAUAUAAUAUUAUGAAACCAUAUUAGAGUAUAAUCCCAAGGAUCUCGUGUGCGGAAAACAUAGUGUGAUGCGCUGCGACCAAGCCGGCUCCUUUCCUUUGAAACAAAGUACCUGAAACCAAAACUGUAAACCGUAAGCACGAUGCUAAGUGAGUUCACCCAUCAUACCACAUACCACAUAAUACCAUCGGUAUCUUUCAACCGGUAACUGCCAUCGGUAUCUUUCAACCGGUAUCUGGGGAUUAUUUCACCCCUACCACUAUCACAUAAUAACAUGUCAUAAACAUAAUGGUCAUGUACUAACAUCAUAAACAUGUUGAUCACAUACUAACAUAGCAUAAACAUGCUAAUCAUAUCAUAAAUAGACAUAUAAGUAUUACAUGGGUUUUGUAUACCCCUUCGGUAUCUUUCAACCGGUAACUGCCAUCGGUAUCUUUCAACCGGUAUCUGCCAUCGGUAUCUUUCAACAGAUAUUCAUCAUCGGUAUCUUUCAACCGGUAACCAGAGACUAUUUCACCCCUACCACUAUCAUAUAAUGGCAUGAUAUAAUCAUACAGUCAGGCAUUACAGGGGUACUGACCUACCCUUCGAUCCUAAUAACCGAGUCAGGGAAGAACUAUUCCCUGCUACUACCAUUAACACAUAUCAUGUCACAUAAGCAUAUUACAUGAGCAUAUCUUAUAAGCAUAUCACAUAAGCAUAUCUCAUGAGCAUAUCACAUAAGCAUAUCUCAUAAGCAUAUCACAUAAGCAUAUCAAGAUAAUUAUCACAAAGACAAUUAUCUACCAACUACCCCUGUUGGUGGGCCGAUAUUGUGGCCUUAGACUCACCUCUACUGGAAGGUAACUCACCUCGCACUGCUGAAGUCCCGCAUACAUAUCCCCACAUUGAUGAAGUCCUGCAGACUUCACCCCAGCUGCUGGAUGACAGAUUCCCGAACUGUCAACAUCAAAAUAACACCCAAUUAAUAAUUGGGUCCCAACACAUAAUCAUAGAUGCUCACUUGGAUAAUUACUACAUUACCCCAAGGUUGGCUUUAUACAAGCCCAAGGCCCAAUCUAAGGCCCAAAAGUCCAACUAUGGCUCAAAGCCCAACAUAUGGCCCAAUUUUCCAAUUUGGGCCCAGGCCUAUACAUGGCCUUACUCUAAGGUCCAACAUCAUAUAAUCAUUAAGGUCCAAACUAUGGCCCAUCUAUGGCCCAAUUUUCCAAAUUGGGCCUAACUCCUCAAAGCGCAUUAAUUAUUCUAGUCUAAUUGCUUGACUUUAGAUGGCCCAAUAAUAAUCCAAUCAUCAAGGCCCAAUAAUAAACCCAAGUGAAAUUAGGGUUUUCACAUAAAAUGAUGAUUAGGGUUAAGUCUUCUUACUUAACCCAUUAAGAACUUAAUCCAUUAAGUCCAAUCUUACUUAGAUUAAUUCCUUGCAAAUGAUUCUUAUUUAAUAUCUCUAGUUAUUAAAUAAUUCCCAUGUGUCCUGAUUAAUUUCCUAAAUUAGGGUUUUGAUGGCAUUAGGGUUUCCUGAUUAGGGUUUCCAACCCAAAUACUAGCCGAAUAGGCCCAUAAAUUAAGUCCUUGGAUCCAUUAGGGUUCAUUAAGCCCAUUAGACACAUGUUUGGGCUUUUACGCCCAUUAAGCCUCAUUGGGCCCAUUAGGGUUUUAGUCCCUUGGCCAAACGUACCCAAACUAGCAAUCCCAACACAACUAAGCACACUGCCACCCGACACAGCGGCCGAUGGCGGCAGCCACCACCCUAAGGUGGUGGUUCUCAAUUUCUUUUAUUAUACCAAGCUGUAAUUUACAUUUUACAAAGCCAAAUAUCCAAAUAACACACUGAAAAAAUAAACACAUACCCACACAACCACCUUUUGGUGGCCGUUGGCGGCAGAAGCGACGGCAGCCACCAUGGCUGGCGGCCAUGGUGGGUAUCCUUUCCAUUUUCUGGCUAUCAACACCACCCUCAACAUACACACAUGAGUUGGACACAUGAAACACACCCCAUAUGAUCACAAAAGCAACUCUAGCUACCCCCCGGUGGCGGUUAACGAUGACAGCACCAAGGAGAGACGGCAACGGCGGAAUGGCCAUUGAAAUGGAUGCAGCGGCGGCACGACGACGAUGGCUAUAAGCUUAGAAUGAAUCACCGGCAAGGGACGAGAGGUAUGGUGGAACCGUGAGCGACAGAAGCGGCGGCAGGAGGUGCUUCGCCCUCGUCUUCAUCAGCGGCGGCUAUCGGUAGCUUCGUCUCUUCGUCGGAAUGAAGGCUGUUCGACGGUUUUAGAUGGUCGGAGAACGGACGUAAUGAACGAUGGUGUCGUCCAUUCAACUCCCACAUCCCCGUCAUCGAACGUCCUUAACCAGUUGGACUCAUCCUCGUCGGCCGCAAGCAUGAUGGAAGUCUGAUGGUCACGGUGGUUGCUUGGCUGAUCGGAGAUAGGAUGGUAGUGGCGCCUGUAGGGAGGUAUAAGGUUGGGAGGCGGCUGUAACAUGUUCUUUAGGGCUAGGGUUCACAUUGAAUAAAUACCCGUCACCCAUUCAAACUUCAUUCCAUAAUGUCACAAAUAGUCCCUCCCCACAGGAUUCUUUUCACAGAAAGUACAGAAUUUACUCUUUCCACCCCUGCUCACAUAAUUCCUUACAUAUUUAGUCCCAUAGUUACCAUUCAGCCCCUCCUUUACAAAUUAUUCUCAAAUAAAGUCCAUAUGUUACCCUUUUAACCCCAACCUUCAAAACUCUUUACAAAUUGAGUCCAAAAUUUACCAUUUAGCUCUUGCUUCUCAUAAUCUAUCCAUCUUAAGCCCCAAUAAUUAGCAAGUGGUCCCUACCUUCAUAAAUAUUUACAAAACCAAUCCGGAACUUACACUUUUAACCCUCAAUUACUAAAUUAUGCCAAUUUACUCCUUGAAACCAACACCUUUCUAUAUAAUUAUUGAUUUGGGGUUACUAUUCGUUCAUCAAUUAUUUAUUUAUUUAUUAAAAAAUAAACGGGUGUUACAAUAUGUUUGACCUAAUAUCUCUUCUUUAUAACCAUCACGACUACUCAAUUCUAUUCCAUGCAUGCAACUGUUGACGAUGUAUCUCGGUCACGAUCUGUACUCAAAACCCUAGGCGAGUGCUCUGAUCAUGAAAUUUUGAUAUCGCUAAGUCGCGGCUGGUGGAGAUCGAAGAAAACUUGGUGAAUCAACUUGAAGAGGUUGAUCUAUCCGAUAAAUCUUCCUGGAGCCUUUGGGAAGCUUCGUAUGUUGGUUUCUCUUAAGAUAUCCUCGAAUCAACUUCAGGUUAGUCUAAAUAAUCUCAUCACCAUAUCAUAUUAUUAUCAUUUAAUUGAUUUAUGUAUUUCAAUCAUCUACAAAAAGAAUUUCAAUCCCGAAAACAAGCAUCGUAGAAGAGAAACGGAAAUUAGGGCUUGAUUUUGGAUAUUCAUCUUGUUGUUUAUGUUGUUGUUCCAAUGAUAUAAAACUAUUACUAUCUAAUUCUAUCACGAAAGACUUCAUCUUUACUGGUGUUUUAUAUUUAAUUUGUUCAUUUUUCCUUGGAAAACACAUCCAGACGCUAUGAUUAGGUUAGCUUGUCAACUGUGCUCUCAUUCUUCUUUACUUUUAAAUAUCCAUCAUUUAAGUUGAUUUUUUAAUUUAGCAUCUGACUUAAAUAAGAUUGAUUGUUCUUGAUUUUCCAUUUGUUCUUUAUUUUUCAUUUGUUCUUUAUACUUCAUUGUUCUAAAUUUGGCUUGUUUGAUGAUAAUGCCUAACAAAUGUUUGUUGAAAUGCCUGAAAGAAAAUUUAAAGAAUUUAACCUGAAUUUAUUUCAUACACUCUCAAAUCAUGUCCAUUGAUUAAUUCCAUCCGUUGCUUUCAUUGCUAUAAUUGGGAAUCUUUUAUAGGGUUGGGAUAAUGCUACAAUUGCAGGUACUCAAUUUGUUUCUCUUGGUUUUAAAUCCAAAUGAAUUUCACUUGUCUUGUCAAACUUAUUGGGGUUCAAAAGCAUGGAAUCCAAGAUUUAAAAUUUCUAUAACAUGUUUCCUAAUGAAUAUAGGAGUUGUAGUUUACAUAAAGAAGGAGCUAACUCGGGGAAUUACCAUGAUGUAUUCAAUGAAAACAUGAACCUACAAAGUUUGUCUCCAAAGUCAAGCGUAUUAAUAACAAUCACUCCACAUCGAUUUUCUUUAGAUUUGGUUGUUGUGACAACCGUCAAAAAUUCCAGUCAAGUCAAAGUCAAAUGAAAUCAACAAGUCAAAUGAAGUCAACAAGUCAAACCGGUCAAAUCAAUUAACCCUUGUAUGCUAGGGUUUACGUUAUGUAACUACUUUAUAAAUCACUAUUUUAAUGAGAAAUCAUCAUUUGGAAAGUUCGCGUAUUUGAAUUUCCUUAACCCUAAAUUGUGGUAAAUAACGUGCCAAAGCGAUAAAAUAAUAGUGCACACUCAUCGAGAGUGUGUAGGAUCCUUAAACAUGGCUUAACGAGGUUUACGGACCUUGCGUUGCGAAUCCAAACACUCAAAAAGGUCACAAGUGAAGCCUCUCCCAAUCUCUUUCACUCUAUCUCUCUCUACUAAAAAUUUCUCCCAAAUCGCUCUCAUAAGUUCCCUUGACUUUUUGUAAUAAUUCGGGUCAUACCGACCCUUAACAUGGUCAACAACCGCUUGAAACGGGGUAAAAACGAGUAAAAUAGCCGUAAGGACCCGAACCCCACUUUAUAGGAGCGAACCCUCUUGGACUGAAAGUACUUAGAACCAAAGGUCCCUAUACGGACCGAACUGCUUAUGAACCGAAACCAUGAGAGCCGAACCCGAAGCUGCUGCAAACCGAACCGAACCUCCCUUUCGAACCGAACCCUCCUCUCUCCUUCGCCCCAUUUCGCUCCUGACCACCUUCGCUCCAUUUCGCCUAGUUUGCCUUCAGGCCCAGAAGUCUCGCAAGUUGGCCCAAAUCACCCGGUUUUCGACCACGACUUCAUUUUGGGCCCGUUUUCCAUUAUUUUUGCGCGACAUUUUCACCCAAAAUCAUAUUUUAACAUAUAAAGCCCCAUAAUUCAUAAUUAAUCAUGUUUUUGGGGUAUUAUCCUUAUCCAAGAAGAGUGGGUGGGAUAUGAUUGGUGGAGUGUCGACCUUGCUUUAGUGUAUGACACAAGCAACCACCCCAUGCCCACUCCAUAACCCACCAUUGUCCUUCCACCAUACCUAGUCAUUCAUUUUACUUUUCCCACUUAUUUCCUAGCCACACACAUGGUCAAGGGCUGGGAAAACUCUCCUCUCUCCUCACACUUCUCUCAUUUGUCUCAUUUUCCACUAAAGAGCACACUUCAAUUUCUCUCACUAAAUUUCGAGAUUCAAGGCUGAUUAUCAAGAGGUUCUUCUACUUUUGGUAAGUGUUGUCAUUCCUUCAUAUGAUUAUUUCACUUCAUUCUACUAAAAUCAUAGAUAUCUUACACAAACUCUAUCAUAUCCAUGUUAGAUAUUCGAAUCUUCAAGGCAUCUUCUAAGUGUUCUUGAGUUGAACACUUCUCUUCUUCAACAUCCAUCUACUAAGAACACACAAGGUGAGUUCAUAGCCCUAUAUUUUCAUGUUUUCUUAAGUUUUAAGUGGGGGAAUACAAGUACAAACACCAAGAACACAACUAAACUUUUCCAACAGCUUUAAUCAAAAAAGUUGAACUCCAUUCACGGACUGUUUUGGAUAACUUAAACAUUUUAGUUUUCAAAACUGUACUAGGUGCAAGUAGUUCAGGUUCAUACCUUUAAACUGACUACUUGCACAUCUCUAUACGAUUUCUCUACAAUUUAUUGUGAUUUUUUCAAAACUACCUAUCAUUUCAAGAACACAUCCAGACCAGUCUGAGAUUAUGGACUUUUUCACACUAGUUGGAGGUCAUUAAAAAUCAUGAGAAAAUUUAUGAACAAACUAGACUCAUUUUCCAACCUCUUAGAAUUUACAGAUUCUUAUUUGGACAUUUUAUGAUUUUUAUAUAAAUUUUCUAAGAACAGAAUAGAAAUGUUAUUACUUGAAAAAUGCUAUCAUUUCAUUUACACCUUGUAACUUGUUGAGCAAGCUGUGUAUCAUUAUGUGAUUAUAUGUUAUUACCAUAUAUGUCAUUUUUUCUUUAUACAUAGACAUACAUCAGAUAACAAAUGGAUAUUUGCUAUAUUAAGCAUGGUAAAUGAUAAAUUGUUAUAAACAAAAUUUACAUCCAUUACAUACAAACAUUUGGUAAACUAUGACAAAUAUAGUUUAUGUACACUACCACUACCCUUUUUUUGAUAAACUAUAAUAGGUAUAGUUUAUGAUUAAUUUACAUAACAAACUCAUUAACAAAGUGUACACUUAUACAAAAGGGUUUUUAUCACACCACACGUAAAUUCAUUAAUGACUAACUGUGAGACAUUUCGCUUCACGUUACUUUUCAAUUAAUACACUUAAGUCCUGUAUUGUAACCAGAAUCUCUUGUAGGGAGAGCGUGAUAGUUGUGUGUAGAUCUAUAUUGGGUCUGAAAAACCCACACCUUAGCUGCAUGCAACAGCUAGACCGGCAGGUCUAGGGUGACAAAUGUCAUAACAUUUCCGACGCCUGAAGAACGUCGUUUGAUGCCAACUAGGUCAUAGCAUGGUUAUAAUAACUCACAUUAAGUAUUAACAAGCAUAGAAUUUAAGGGGAUUUCAUUGAAAUCAAACGACUUUAUGUCGAUUUAAACUUGCAUUGUUUAACUAUAAGUAUGGCAAAUUACUUUUACAUUUCGGUCUUUGGAUUUAAGACUAGAUUUCACACUUUAAGGAAAAUAUGAGAUUUUUCUUGAACAAACACUACUUUUA